UACGUAGGGGGCAAGCGUUGUCCGGAAUUAUUGGGCGUAAAGCGCGCGCAGGCGGUUCAUUAAGUCUGGGGUUUAAGGCUGGGGCUCAACCCUGGUUCGCACUGGAAACUGGUGGACUUGAGUGCAGAAGAGGAAAGUGGAAUUCAACGUGUAGCGGUGAAAUGCGUAGAGAUGUGGAGGAACACCAGUGGCGAAGGCGACUUUCUGGGCUGUAACUGACGCUGAGGCGCGAAAGCGUGGGGAGCAAACAGG
rnacentral:rRNA from 1 species